AACGAACGCUGGCGGCAUGCCUAACACAUGCAAGUCGAACGAGACCUUCGGGUCUAGUGGCGCACGGGUGCGUAACGCGUGGGAACCUGCCCUUAGGUUCGGAAUAACUCCCCGAAAGGGGUGCUAAUACCGGAUAAUGUCUUCGGACCAAAGAUUUAUCGCCUUUGGAUGGGCCCGCGUUGGAUUAGCUAGUUGGUAGGGUAAAAGCCUACCAAGGCGACGAUCCAUAGCUGGUCUGAGAGGAUGAUCAGCCACACUGGGACUGAGACACGGCCCAGACUCCUACGGGAGGCAGCAGUGGGGAAUAUUGGACAAUGGGCGAAAGCCUGAUCCAUCAAUGCCGCGUGAGUGAUGAAGGCCUUAGGGUUGUAAAGCUCUUUUACCCGGGAUGAUAAUGACAGUACCGGGAGAAUAGGCUCCGGCUAACUCCGUG
rnacentral:rRNA from 1 species